AGUGAACGCUGGCGGUAGGCCUAACACAUGCAAGUCGAACGGCAGCACAGUAAGAGCUUGCUCUUACGGGUGGCGAGUGGCGGACGGGCGAGGAAUACAUCGGAAUCUACUUUUUCGUGGGGGAUAACGUAGGGAAACUUACGCUAAUACCGCAUACGACCUACGGGUGAAAGCGGGGGAUCUUCGGACCUUGCGCGAUUGAAUGAGCCGAUGUCGGAUUAGCUAGUUGGCGGGGUAAAGGCCCACCAAGGCGACGAUCCGUAGCUGGUCUGAGAGGAUGAUCAGCCACACUGGAACUGAGACACGGUCCAGACUCCUACGGGAGGCAGCAGUGGGGAAUAUUGGACAAUGGGCGCAAGCCUGAUCCAGCCAUACCGCGUGGGUGAAGAAGGCCUUCGGGUUGUAAAGCCCUUUUGUUGGGAAAGAAAAGCAGCAGGUUAAUACCCCGCUGUUCUGACGGUACCCAAAGAAUAAGCACCGGCUAACUUCGUG
rnacentral:rRNA from 1 species